AAAGAAUAUAAACUUUUAAACAUGGCCAUUUUCGAAGCUGUCAUAUGUGAAGGAUUCAAUGAACAGGAUUACGCCAAAAAAAAUUAGAAAUUGUUUCAAAUUCCCUAAGGCCAGACACUUCCGAA
rnacentral:sRNA from 1 species